rnacentral:lncRNA from 1 species
GAUUCACAUUGGAUAGUAGACAUGAACAAAUAAACUAUCAAACCAAACAAUGUGGUCAAGACUAUUAGAUUAGAGAAAGACCGUAUUGCAUUUGUAAUCCCGAACUGAAUAGGUUCUCUAACCUUUUCUGAUUAGCUUGGGUAACCAUGACAUGUUGCUAGGCGUCAACCAUGGUUUGUGGAAGCCCUAAACGUGUGUAAUCACUAAAGGGAGAAUUGAAAAUAGUUUCAAUUCACAAUCGAUGUAAAAUGGUUUUAAUCGCCCACUACCUCGCUAAAAGGAACCUAAUGGAUCGCACACCAUAAAAGGUGGAGAUUGAAGAUUAAACGGAGAUGAGUAAGAAUGAUUAAAUGGUUUAAUCAUUUAAAUUAUGGCAAGGAUUAAUUAAUAUGUUAAUUAAUCAAACGAAUAAGUUCGUUAAAGACCUCGGGAUAGUUUUGGACCUUAAGGCCCAAUGGGCUUCAAAAGUCAAGCCCAUUGACUUAAGUUGUAUGACAACUUAAUGAAUAAAGAUUCACAAAGGCCCAAAAGCCCAAAAAUCCCUAGGUAGGCCGGCCAUGAUGAAAUGAAUUAGGGUUUUGGUUGUUUAGGUCACUUAAAGAAGUGACUAUAUAAAUGACUUUAUAGCCAAAUAUUCAUUAUAGGAUUAAAAAGGUUUAUUUUUGGGGAAAAUUGGUGAGA